CCGCGGUGGCUAUUUUUCCUCCUAAAUUUUCUUUAAUUCUCGUGUGUUGGUGGGUGUUGUUAAUCUUGGAUAGUAGUGAUGACGCAGGUGAGUGUGAUAAAUUGAUUAUGGACAGUGCAUGGUGUAUGAGAAUAUAUAUAUUAGAGAUUGUGUGGCGAUUAUUAGAAAAGAGACAAAAAAGGAAAAAGAAAAGAAUGAGAAGGGAGCUACGUACAGAACUCAACUAAUCUAAGUGUCGUUGCUUGUAACUCCAUGACCCCA
rnacentral:lncRNA from 1 species